GUAAAUCAGAAUAAAAUCAAUUCAUUUGAAGUAAAAUAAAUUCCAUUAUACUCUAUUUUGACCAUAUGAUCAACACUUGUUCAUAGUGCCAUUUACUUUGUGUUCUUCACUCUCGCGCUGUGUUGUGAUCGUUCGAAACUCAUUGCCAGAACGAAUGCAAAUUUCAUUUGGGAAGGAUUGGUGCUGCAAGAUGCAGCAAAAAUCAUUAAAUGUUAAUAGAAAAGUGGUUAAGUAAAUCGUGAAAGAUGUCAACGCAGGCGUAAAUGCAGUAUGUUUUGUUACAUGAUCUACGGCUAUUUCAUUGCCAAAGCUCCUGAUAAUGGAUCAAAGCAGAUGGAUCGGGCAUACAGAGUCGCCAUUUAACAUUAAAUAUCUUCUUGAUCGGCAAACGCAUCAAACACCAAGUGUUUCUCUUCCAACAGCACGCGCCAUCGGUGGAGCAAGCAGCCAACGAUUUGAUCGCCAGUACGCGCCAUCAAGAAUUGAUAUUUUGCCAAACAGUACUGUGAAUAAAAAACUGCACACUUACUGUCCGAGUUUCCUGGAAUUUUUUGAUCGGUCUACGCUCGCGGGAAUGGUGGGUUCGUUGAGGAGAAGGAAAGAAAGGGUGGGAGCGAGAAUUAACCAAAAACGCGGCAUUGAGAAUGAGGGGAGGUGCGCUCAGCGCUCACGCUGGGACACUCACGAUGCUUGAAAUAAAAUGUUAACAAGCAUCGAUUUCAAGCAUGCAUGUCGCGCGACAUUUUGCCAAGCGGGCGG